rnacentral:rRNA from 1 species
AACGUAGGGGGCAAGCGUUGCCCGGAUUCACUGGGCGUAAAGCGCGUGUAGGCGGUCCGUCAAGUCGGGUGUGAAAUCUCGAGGCUCAACCUCGAAAUCGCAUCCGAUACUGGCGGACUUGAGGACGGUAGAGGUCGGUGGAAUUCCCGGUGUACCGGUGAAAUGGGCAGAUAUCGGGAGGAACACCAGUGGCGAAGGCGGCCGACUGGGCCGAUCCUGACGCUGAGACGCGAAAGCCAGGGGAGCGAACCGGAUUAGAAACCCCCGUAGUCC